rnacentral:rRNA from 1 species
GACGAACCGUGCGAACGUUGUUCGGAAUCACUGGGCUUAAAGGGCGCGUAGGCGGCUUGGUCAGUCCGGGGUGAAAGCCCCAGCUCAACUGGGGAAGUGCCUUGGAAACUGCCGGGCUCGAGGGAGGUAGGGGUCGAGGGAACUUCUGGUGGAGGCGGUGAAAUGCGUUGAUAUCAGAAGGAACGCCGGGUGGCGAAAGCGCUCGACUGGAC